rnacentral:misc_RNA from 1 species
CCUGAACGAAGUCUCGAUCGAGAUCAGGCCCGACGAGCUCAUUGCGGUUAUCGGCCCCAACGGCGCCGGCAAAACCUCGCUGAUGAACUGUAUGAGCGGCUUCUAUCGACCGCAGCAGGGCCGCAUCGUGUUCGAUGGUGAGCAGAUGGUCGGCCGAAGCGUCCAUCAAAUCGCGCGAUCCGGAUUGGCGCGGACGUUUCAGGGAACG